GAUGAACGCUGGCGGUCUGCUUAACACAUGCAAGUCGAACGGACCCUUCGGGGUUAGUGGCGGACGGGUGGGUAACGGCGUGAGAAUCUGCCUCCAGGUCUGGGACAACAGAAGGAAAACUUCUGCUAAUCCGGGAUGAGCCUUUUUGGUUAAAAGAUAAAUUGCCUGGAGAUGAGCUCGCGUCUGAUUAGCUAGUUGGUGUGGUAAAAGCAUACCAAGGCAACGAUCAGUAGCUGGUC
rnacentral:rRNA from 1 species